rfam:Schistosoma curassoni strain Dakar, Senegal genome assembly, scaffold: SCTD_scaffold0003979
AUCCAGCUGACGAGUCCCAGACAGGAUGAAACGCGUGUAUUGGAU